AAGGCCGAGGUUUGCAGACUGCACCGCUGCGGUAGACGGGCAGCAGGCAAGGCAGCCAGGGGACACGGGGUGUGAGGUCGGCCCUGACCUGCGAGAUGCCGCCGUCAGCCUGUCCGUGGCGUGCCGCCCCGGCCUGCUUGUUGAGGGAAGCUGGGAAGGAAUAUACUGUACAAAGCUGCAUAUUGCUCGACGGAGACCCACUGGAGAGAUUGUGAACCCAAGGGCGGAGCCAUUCCUUUCUGCAGUUCUCUACUGCAAAAAAAUCAAACAUGAAUGCACAUAAACAUUGAACCGAAUUGGAUAACACAAAAAACAAACAAAAUCAAAUUGAAGAACUGCAUGACGGAGACUCAUUUUUGUGAGAUUUGUGGCAGUUGGGGGGUGUUGCACGAGAAGGAAUUGGAGAUGGGAGAGAGAGAGAGAGAGCUCCCUCUGAACGGCAUAUGUGCAUCCACAAACAAAAAAUCAAAAAAAGAACUGCCCGUGUGCUACAAAUCGAAGGAGCUCCUAGGCUCGGGGGCAGGGCGCCACAGCCUCAGCCUCCUCCUUCUGGUUGGGAGCCGCCGUCUGUUGGUGCUACCAAAGAGACGGAUGCACCAAAGGGAGGGAAGAACGGUGGAAUGCUGUGGUUUUGGCCGGAUCCAUCCGGGUCGCACAGGACCAUGGCUGGCCAGAUCCGUCGAUUGGUGGGGCAGGCUCGGGAGCAGUCUAUCUUGUGCGAAUCUGGCAACCACCGAGGCAGGGCUUUGGGGUGUGGCGGCGGUUGGUUGGGGGAGACAGGGGAGGGAGGAAGAAGAAGGUGGGGCAUCGGGGCAGAGCAUGGG
rnacentral:rRNA from 1 species